AAAUUCCAUUGCUGCAAAUCAUAAUCUCAAUUUCUCCUCCCAAAUCAUCUUCCCAAAUGACGAAAAACCCUAAUUUUACCUCAACCAAUCAUCUUCCCCAAAUCAAUUGUUCUUGGUUGCAAUCCCCAACUUCAACUCAAGAACCCUAACUUCAGAAAUCAAUUCAAUCGGUGAGAAGGGUACAAACAAUCUGCCGAAAUUUGAACUGCAGAUACAAUAAUCAACAGUUUGUUGAAUCGUGACCGUGAUUUGAACUGAAUUAAAGAAGGGCUCUAUUUCCAAUUAAGCAAUCAGCCUAGACGGUUUGUUUGUCCCAUUUUUUCAAGAAUAAAUUAUUGAAGGGAAAAGAUGAAUGUUGCUAUGGAGAAAAGGACGUGGGGAUCUCACUCAAUGGUACUAUCCGCAAGGGAAAAUGAGAUAAAAAGAACGAGAAACAAGAGGGAAGAGCUCAUUGAAAUUGAACCGCUUAUGUUAUUCGUUAAAAAAAUUAAAUUGUAAUGGACAUGGUGUACCGUUGUUAUUGUAAUCUUGCAGUGUUUUUAGUACGACCCUAUCAAGAUUUCUGGACUAGUUUUUGCAAUGUAAAAUUCAUUUUGUUAUUGUAAUCGGCAUUGCUAGUUUCUGGACUACAUAUAUUGGUUUUGGAGUGAUUUUUCCCAUGAUAUCUCGAAUAAGGGAUUCAUCAUUUCAAAUAUAAGUGAACUUCUAGUCGCA